AUAAUAUAUUGAUUGGCAUCAAUUGAUAUUGAAAGCUCCGGCGGAUAGAGAUGGGCACGCGCAAGAUUAGUUAGUUGGUGAGGUAACGGCUCACCAAGACGAUGAUCUUUAGGGGCCUGAGAGGGUGAUCCCCCACACUGGUACUGAGACACGGACCAGACUCCUACGGGAGGCAGCAGUGAGGAAUAUUGGUCAAUGGGUGCAAGCCUGAACCAGCCACUCCCGCGUGAAGGACGACUGCCCUAUGGGUUGUAAACUUCUUUUGUAUAGGGAUAAACCUACCCUCGUGAGGGUAGCUGAAGGUACUAUACGAAUAAGCACCGGCUAACUCCGUG
rnacentral:rRNA from 1 species